GCGGCCCCGCGCGGGUCCCGCGGGCUGCGCGCCCCCGAGCGCCCCGUGGCGGCGGGGCCGGGAGCGGGGAGCGGGGAGCGGGGCCCGGGGCCCGGGAAGGCCGGAGCACCGGGCCAGGGCCGGGACAGCCGCCAGGAGCGCGGCCCCGCUCGGCCCCUCCGCGGGGAAACACCGAGGGCGCAGCGCGGGUGGCGGGGAGCGGGUCGGGGCCGCUCGGUGCUGGCAUCGCACGGACCAGCGCAGCCCCUGGGCCGGGAGGGGCCGUGCCCCGGUGCCCUGGCCUCGGGUGUCCGGCUCAGCCGCGGUGGGCUCCCCGCAGGGGCCGGCAGAGAGCCGGGAGCCGUCGCAGCAGCCCACGGGGUGCCCGGGGUGACUUUCUCCGGGUUACAGAACAGUUAGGGUGGCACGGACAGCCCCGGCACGGCACCCGCGGGCACGGCCCCUUCCCCAGCCGGUAGCUGAGCGGGGCCCGGCACAGCUGCCGUGGAGCAGCCGUGAGGACGGGCCCUGCGGAGCCCUCUCUGCCACACUGCAGUCACUUGGGCUCCAACAGACAGCCCGUGGCAGUGUCGCCGCGGCGGCGGUGACGUGCCAGCGUGGCAGGAGCGCAGCCCCGGUGAGGCGGCGCUUUCCCCGGCCAGCACAGCCGUCGGCCGCUCCCGGAGCCGUGAGCCUGCGGAGCUGCAGCUAUUGAAACACGGAAUGCAGCGGGGAGCCCUGCCAAGCGCACGGCUGCAAAGGAAACUGGAGGAUGGGAAGAGCCGAGCCUCGGACGGCUGGAGAGGAAAAGUAAAAGUGAAAAAGACAAUUAGAAAUAACAUCUCACUUUUGUGCCAGAUUUUGGGGGAUUUUUUUCUGACAGCCUGCUGGGAGUCAGAACUGCUAAUUCUCUGGAGGCCGAAGCAGAAUGUGGCAGCAGUUGGCUGAUGAAGUGGUUGAGCAGGGAAGAAAAUGAAGACAAGUAAAACUGAAAGUGAGGCAUUUGGAAAAUAGCCUGGUUUAACCCCAUUUUAUCUGAAGCCAGGCUUGCUGUGGGCUACUAAAUAAGUUGCUUUUAUGAACAGCACUCUAGACAAGGCUUUUAAAUUAAUAAUAAAUGAAGGGUAAAGGAAUAACACUGUUUCUGUCCAAAACUCUAA